rnacentral:lncRNA from 1 species
CUGGCAGACACCUGGGAGCUCACACAUCAGUGAGGCCCCUGUCUUCUCAGCUGAGAUCGUAGGUGUGGUUCUCAGGAAGAGAGACUCCAUCCCUUGUCAGUGGUGCCUCCAGGAGAUGCCCGGAGAACCCAAGCAGGAAGCUUUCUAUUUUCUUCCUUCAGAAGAAAUUGUCACCCUUGGCUCCUUUGGAGGGACUAUGAUGACUGGAGAGAAGCGUCUCUGGAUGGUCAUGCGUCUGUGACUACAGCCUCUCUGGGCCUGUGAGAGAGGACAGUCCAGUUUAUUUGCCGAGGAUUCCUUUUGGAAAGGAAUGUGGACUCACAUUUUGCAUUAAGAAACUGGAAAAUCUUCUCGUAGGUCCUGGCAUAGUGCUGCCCAUGUCCUGGGUAGAUCUUGUACCAGCUGAAACUGCACAGCUCGACCUUCAUGGCGAUAGAUGUCGGCCUGCCGGGGGAAAGAUGGCGAAGAGCGGGCAUGGAUGCUAAUACCCUCAUCCUAACUGCCUAGAAGCCAGUCUUCUGUUAUUUGCCUUUGAAACAAGGGGUGGAACUCUCAUUUCCUCCAUUCCCACGUCUGCCUGGAUGCUGCAAUGUUCCUGCCUUGAUGAUAAUGGACUGAACCUCUGACCUGUAAGCCAGCCCCAAUAAAAUGUCAUCCUUAUAAGUGUU